CACAAACCAAAACUUGUCUCGUCAUCCACAUCCGCAAACUCCCUUCCCGCACAAAACCGAGCAGAGGAGAGGAAAGAGAGAGAUGGAGGAAUAAAGCGGAGAGGGAGAGCCGAGCCGGAGAUCAAAAGGAGCAAGGAAAGCCGAUAGCUUGUGUGUGUGUAGAGAGAGAGAGAGAGAGCAAGAGAGGUGUGCGCCCCCAAUCCCCAUGGCCUCUGCUCCUGCUGCUAUAUAAGACCCGGGGGCUCCUCUGCUUCCCAAUCCACCCAUCCUGGUCUCAUGCUUCGGUCCACGCAACCGCCCAGCCCCUCCAGCGGCAGCGGCACCUCGGCGGCGCCGGCGUCCGGCUCCGACGCCAAGAUGGUCGGCGGCGGCGCGCCGAGCGGGGCCAAGCUGCUGCAGAUCCUCAACGUGCGGUUGGUGGGCAGCGGCGAGCGCGUGGUGGUGCUGUCCCACGGCUUCGGGACGGACCAGUCGGCGUGGAGCCGCGUGCUCCCCUACCUCACCCGCGACCACCGCGUGGUGCUCUACGACCUCGUCUGCGCCGGCAGCGUGAACCCGGAGCACUUCGACUUCCGCCGCUACGACACGCUCGACUCGUACGUCGACGACCUGCUCGCCAUCCUCGACGCGCUCCGCAUCCCGCCCUGCGCCUUCGUCGGCCACUCCGUCUCCGCCAUGAUCGGCAUCCUCGCCUCCAUCCGCCGCCCCGAGCUCUUCGCCAAGCUCAUCCUCAUCGGCGCCUCGCCCAGGUUCCUGAACGACAACGACUACCACGGCGGGUUCGAGCUGCCGGAGAUCCAGCAGGUGUUCGACGCCAUGGCGGCCAACUACUCGGCGUGGGCGACGGGGUACGCGCCGCUGGCGGUGGGCGCGGACGUGCCGGCGGCGGUGCAGGAGUUCAGCCGCACCCUCUUCAACAUGCGCCCGGACAUCUCCCUCCACGUCUGCCGCACGGUGUUCAACACGGACCUCCGCGGCGUGCUGGGCAUGGUGCGCGCCCCCUGCGUGGUGGUGCAGACCACCCGCGACGUCUCCGUCCCGGCCUCCGUCGCCGCCUACCUCAAGGCCCACCUCGGCGGCCGCACCACCGUCGAGUUCCUCCAGACCGAGGGCCACCUCCCGCACCUCAGCGCCCCCGGCCUCCUCGCCCAGGUGCUCCGCCGCGCGCUCGCCCGGUUCUAGCGACGCGGCGAUCGGUAUUUUUACCGCCUCGAUUUUUACCCUUUGCCAAGAAUCAAAAAUGGCGCGACCCGCGCCGCUGCUGCUGUGUGUGUGCCAUGACUGUAGUCUGUAGUAGAACUUGUUCUGGUGCCCGAAUUUUUUUUUAACUUUUUACUGGAGCAGUCGUACUGGUACUCCGCAUCUUGCCUUCUUCUCCUGCACCGCCACUGCACCUGUACCGAGGGACAGAUAAGCGGGCCUUCUGGCGCCACGUGGCGGGUACUCGAGACGGUGCACGAGUUCCUUCCAGCUUUUUAAGCCUUGUCCCAUCUGCUAUGAGAUUGGGAUCUACUGACCUGAUUAAGCGGAUAAUGGUAUCGAUUGGUUGGAAUCAUCAUGUCACUUGCAUAAUAACUGGGUUGUGGAUAAGUCCUGAAGAUGAAAGUGGCGAGAUUUUUUUUAUAUAUAUAAAAGGAAAGGUGUGGCGGAUGUCUGCCCACGGCAUGCAUGGCCCAUCUUAUCGUCA